AUUGAACGCUGGCGGCAGGCCUACCACAUGCAAGUCGAGCGAGCGGCGGACGGGUGAGUAAUGUCUGGGAAACUGCCUGAUGGAGGGGGAUAACUACUGGAAACGGUAGCUAAUACCGCAUACCAUCAGAUGUGCCCAGAUGGGAAUAGCUAUUAGGUGGGGUAAUGGCUCACCUAGGCGACGAUACCUAGCUGGUCUGAGAUGAUGACCAGCCACACUGGAACGCAGACACGGUCCAGACUCCGACGGGAGGCAGCAGUGGGGAAGAUUGCACAAUGGUCUCAAGCCUGAUGCAGCCAUGCCGCGUGUGUGAAGAAGGCCUUCGGGUUGUAAAGCACUUUCAGCUGGGAGGCGUUACCCGCAGAAGAAGCACCGGCUAACUCCGUGCCAGCAGCCGCGGUAAUUC
rnacentral:rRNA from 1 species